rnacentral:snRNA from 1 species
CUCCCAGCAUCGACGAAUAUGCGUUUCGCCUUUUACUAAACGCAUCCGUGCUGGGGG